rnacentral:rRNA from 1 species
CAGAGGGUGCGAGCGUUGUUCGGAAUUACUGGGCGUAAAGCGCGCGCAGGCGGUUCUUUAAGUCUACCCGUGAAAUGCCGGAGCUCAACUCCGUGCACGCCGGGGGAUACUGGAGGACUGGAGACAGGUAGAGGCAGGCGGAAUUCCGGGUGUAGCGGUGGAAUGCGUAGAGAUCCGGAAGAACACCAGAGGCGAAGGCGGCCUGCUGGGCCUUGUCUGACGCUGAGGCGCGAAAGCGUGGGGAGCGAACAGGAUUAGAUACCCUGGUAGUCCACGCCGUAAACGAUGGGCACUGGGCGCGGGUGGGAUCGACCCCUUCCGUGCCGUAGCUAACGCGAUAAGUGCCCCGCCUGGGGAGUACGGCCGCAAGGCUG